CCUGUUACCUGUAGGAUCUGGUGACUCAUUAAUAGCCUCACGUCGGACCUUCACCUGUCCUGGGGUCGUGGGGGACGUGGGGAGCGCGUGUGGGUGUGUUGGGGUGUGUUGGAGUGUGUUAGAGGAAGGGAGGGUGACAAGGAGGACUGCAGGAAGACUGAGGACCACAUCACCAAGGACCAAGGAAGACCAGAGCACUGUCUCAAACUGCAAGGAAGGUUAGAGGGGGAUCCACAAUGCUACAGUCUUGAGUUUCUGUCUAAGCCAGCUGGUAAUGCCCUGGAAGUGGGGGAGGCUCACCUUUCACUAGUGGGGGACAUCCAAGGAAGAGAGCACACUGAGGGACACCAGGUUGAAGACCACUGCCCUUGAAACUGCACAUGAAGACCAAGAGGAACACCAGGUUUGAUGGAAAUGUCAAGAAAACAUGAUGAAUUGAUUACAGGGAAAGUUUCAAGAAUCCAGGCCAACACAUGACAGUUUCCAUGAGAUCUGAGAUUGUUUCAGCUGUAUCCUUGUCUCAGCCCAGUAAGAAAGUAUGUCACUGAGUGGCUGCACCUUCCCUUCACUGGCUUGGUGCCGGGCUUCACGUCACAUGCUUGUUUUAUAUGCAGGGUAGACAAUUUUAAUUGGUAUCCUGAC